rnacentral:rRNA from 1 species
AAUGCAAGUCGAACGGGUCCUCUCCUUCGGGGGAGGGCCAGUGGCGAACGGUCGCGUAACACGUAGACAACCUGCCCGGAAGUGGGGGAUAACAGCCCGAAAGGGCUGCUAAUACCGCAUGUGGCCGCCUUCUCGCCUGAGGGGGUGUCUAAAGCUUGAUGCGCUUCCGGAUGGGCUUGCGGCCUAUCAGCUGGUUGGUGGGGUAACGGCCUACCAAGGCGAUGACGGGUAGCUGGUCUGAGAGGAUGGUCAGCCGGAUUGGGACUGAGAUACGGCCCAGACUCCUACGGGGGGCAGCAAUUAGGAAUCUUGCGCAAUGGGGGCAACCCUGACGCAGCGACGCCGCGUGAAGGAUGACGGUCUUCGGAUCGUAAACUUCUUUUGACAGGGAAGAGAACGGACGGUACCUGUCGAAUAAGCCCCGGCUAACUACGUGCCAGCAGCCGCGGUAAUACGUAGGGGGCGAGCGUUGUCCGAAGUUACUGGGCGUAAAGCGCGCGUAGGCGGUCCUUUAAGUCUGGUGUGAAAGCCCACGGCUCAACCGUGGAGGGUCAUUGGAAACUGGGGAACUUGAGUGCAGAAGAGGAAAGUGGAAUUCCAAGUGUAGCGGUGAAAUGCGUAGAGAUUUGGAGGAACACCAGUGGCGAAAGCGACUUUCUGGUCUGUAACUGACACUGA